CCCUUAGAUGUUCUGGGCCGCACGCGCGCUACACUGACGAAUGCAACGAGCUUAUAACCUUGGCCGAAAGGUCUGGGUAAUCUCCAAAUUUCGUCGUGAUGGGGAUAGAUUAUUGCAAUUAUUAAUCUUCAACGAGGAAUGCCUAGUAAGCGCAAGUCAUCAGCUUGCGUUGAUUACAUCCCUGCCCUUUGUACACACCGCCCGUCGCUCCUACCGAUUGAAUGGUCCGGUGAAGCGCUCGGACCGCGGCCUCUUGACGGUUCGCUGUCGAUUGGCUGUGGGAAGUUCGUUAAACCUUAUCAUUUAGAGGAAGGAGAAGUCGUAACA
rnacentral:rRNA from 1 species